GGCAGUGGUAGCUCAGUGGUUAAGACGUCAGCCUACCGAUCAGAAGGUCACGUGUUCAAACCCCAGCGCUGCCA